UGGGGGAUAUUGCACAAUGGGCGAAAGCCUGAUGCAGCGACGCCGCGUGGGGGAUGAAGGCCUUCGGGUUGUAAACUUCUUUUGCUCUGAACAAGGCAUGCCUUUGGGGUGUGUUGAGUGUAGGGGUUGAUUAGCGCCGGCUAACUACGUGCCAGCAGCCGCGGUAAUACGUAGGGCGCGAGCGUUGUCCGGAAUUAUUGGGCGUAAAGGGCUUGUAGGUGGCUGGUUGCGUCUGUCGUGAAAGCUCAUGGCUUAACUGUGGGUUUGCGGUGGGUACGGGCUGGCUUGAGUGCAGUAGGGGAGGCUGGAAUUCCUUGUGUAGCGGUGGAAUGCGCAGAUAUCAGGAGGAAUACCGGUGGCGAAGGCGGGUCUCUGGGCUGUUACUGACGCUGAGGAGCGAAAGCGUGGGGAGCGAACAGG
rnacentral:rRNA from 1 species